rnacentral:rRNA from 1 species
CCUGGUUGAUUCUGCCAGUAGUCAUAUGCUUGUCUCAAAGAUUAAGCCAUGCAUGUCUGAGUAUAAGCAAUUAUACAGCGAAACUGCGAAUGGCUCAUUAUAUAAGUUAUCGUUUAUUUGAUAGUACCUUGCUACUUGGAUAACCGUGGUAAUUCUAGAGCUAAUACAUGCUAAAAAUCCCGACUCCGGAAGGGAUGUAUUUAUUAGAUUAAAAGCCAAUGCCCUCUGGGCUCUCUGGUGAUUCAUGAUAACUUCUCGAAUCGCACGGCCUUGCGCCGGCGAUGGUUCAUUCAAAUUUCUUCCCUAUCAACUUUCGAUGUUUGGGUAGUGGCCAAACAUGGUUGCAACGGGUAACGGAGGGUUAGGGCUCGACCCCGGAGAAGGAGCCUGAGAAACGGCUACUACAUCCAAGGAAGGCAGCAGGCGCGCAAAUUACCCAAUCCCGACUCGGGGAGGUAGUGACAAUAAAUACUGAUACAGGGCCCUUUCGGGUCUUGUAAUUGGAAUGAGUACAAUUUAAAUCCCUUAACGAGGAACAAUUGGAGGGCAAGUCUGGUGCCAGCAGCCGCGGUAAUUCCAGCUCCAAUAGCGUAUAUUAAAGUUGUUGUGGUUAAAAAGCUCGUAGUUGAACCUUGGGCCUGGCGGGCUGGUCCGCCUCACCGCGUGCACUAGUCCCGCCGGGCCUUUCCCUCUGCGGAGCCCCAUGCCCUUCACUGGGCGUGGCGGGGAAGCAGGACGUUUACUUUGAAAAAAUUAGAGUGCUCCAGGCAGGCGUAUGCUCGAAUACAUUAGCAUGGAAUAAUGAAAUAGGACGCGCGGUUCUAUUUUGUUGGUUUCUGGGACCGCCGUAAUGAUUAAUAGGGACAGUCGGGGGCAUCAGUAUUCAAUUGUCAGAGGUGAAAUUCUUGGAUUUAUUGAAGACUAACAACUGCGAAAGCAUCUGCCAAGGAUGUUUUCAUUAAUCAGGAACGAAAGUUAGGGGAUCGAAGACGAUCAGAUACCGUCGUAGUCUUAACCAUAAACUAUGCCGACUAGGGAUCGGACGAUGUUAUUCAUUGACUCGUUCGGCACCUUACGAGAAAUCAAAGUGCGUGGGCUCCAGGGGGAGUAUGGUCGCAAGGCUGAAACUUAAAGAAAUUGACGGAAGGGCACCACCAGGGGUAAACGUGCACUGUCUAAGCCGCAGUCAACUCUGCUCCAGAAAGCCGCCCGAAAGGGUCGGUGGUCGCCCCCCAACGCUGGCUAGUCCCGUCCGCCACCGCGCGGCGGGGCAACACCCUCAAACUGCCGGGGAACUCCUAAAGCCCUCGCUCCGGACGGCGCUGGGAAACCAGCGUCCGCUCACCAGGUUAACGACCUCGGGCAUCGGAAGCAACGCGGGGGAUGCUACAAUGGACGAUCCGCAGCCAAGCCCCUACGUGCGACAGCAUACGGGGAAGGUUCAGAGACUUGACGGGGGUGGGUCGGGGACGCAUGUCGGGACGCCUGAAGGCGCUGGAACACCGGCACGAGGGCGCUGGAGUCUCGCCCGCGAGGGGCUGGCACCUCCGCCUGAAGAGCGCUGGGAUCCCGGCGACC